rnacentral:rRNA from 1 species
UACAGAGGGUGCGAGCGUUAAUCGGAUUUACUGGGCGUAAAGCGUGCGUAGGCGGCUUUUUAAGUCGGAUGUGAAAUCCCUGAGCUUAACUUAGGAAUUGCAUUCGAUACUGGGAAGCUAGAGUAUGGGAGAGGAUGGUAGAAUUCCAGGUGUAGCGGUGAAAUGCGUAGAGGUCUGGAGGAAUACCGAUGGCGAAGGCAGCCAUCUGGCCUAAUACUGACGCUGAGGUACGAAAGCAUGGGGGAGCAAACAGGAUUAGAUACCCUGGUAGUCCAUGCCGUAAACGAUGUCUACUAGCCGUUGGGGCCUUUGAGGCUUUAGUGGCGCAGCUAACGCGAUAAGUAGACCGCCUGGGGAGUACGGUCGCAAGACUAAAACUCA